AACCGCAGCAGCACGGGCUGCAGACCGCAAUCUCCUCCCUUGAGGCAGCAGGGUAGGAUAAUUCAUGGUACUCCUUCAGCCGAAGGCACGUUUGGCUUAUCUGAUCCCUGGGGCUUGUGGGGCCGGCUGAUCCGCUGCUAAACCCACCUUUGAAGCCACAGCAGUGAUCGGCUCUGUUGGGAAGCAGAGGCUGUGCAGCUGGGUGAAGCCCUCUGUGUGGUGGCAGAGGAUGAUGGCCUCUCAUCAUCCCACCUGUCCCGGGCUGCCCUGCACAGAAGGAGGAGAUGGGGAAAGGAGCUUCACCCAGCAUGCUACUGUCAGUGCUGCACCUCGAGGUCACACACAACAAGCUGGUGAUGGUGACAAACCAGAGCCCCCAAAGAACAAGCAACAAACAGUUUUUCUCCUGAACCUCAGCCCAUGACACUCUUGUUCAUUUCUAGUCAUCACGAAUGGCUGGAGGUAUCACUGGACUCCAGCCAGAGCAAAAGAUGAAGGGGCUGGAGGACAGUUGGCCUUCCAAGCAGGAAGAUGUCAGCUGCUCCCUCACAGCAGUGUGGUUGUCUGCUGGAACACAACCCCACAGCCAUCUCAUCGGUGCUCUUCUGCUGCUGGGAGAGAAGCCAGCGGCCACCCAGCAUCAGUCAGUUUGCUCCAGCAGAGACUAAGCAGGUGUCAAUUCAGUCAUAAAUGCCAUGUUGCUCUAAGCACGUACACCAAAGAUGCUGAAACCAAAGGCCUUUCCUCUUCCAACCACACAAAAUGAACAGCUCAAGUAAUAAAUGAGCAGGUCUUCAGAUUAAUUAUUCUCAGUAUGAGCAAACAGAAAUGCAAUUUAAUUCAGCAUCAAAUGGUUGAGGACUGCUGUUCAUCCUCCACUGCUAGGAAACCAGAGUGAAGGAGAACACAGAUGAGGCAGAUCACAGUGCUAUGGUAAUAAUUCCUUUCAAAAUUAAUUUCUGCCUUGUUUUUCUCCUGUCCUCUUCUUUAGAGGACAUGAACUUGGAGGAAAUAGCCCUUAGUCUGCAAAGAAAGGAUGUGAUGAGAAGAGAUAAUGUUGGGCUGAGGAGCUCCUCUUCUCACACCACAAUGACAGGAGGUCACACCAGAUGCUUGCCCAGAGUCAGUUGGAUGGGAGGUGACUGGUAAGUCUCAUACAAAGUAUGUGUUGUCUUCUGUAGGAAGACAUCUCCAACAGGUGACCACACUGCAGGUGAGGUCCAAAAACAGCAGCAGAAGUGUUCCUACAAUGUGUGAUUGGGUGCAGACAUGGCUUUCUUCAACACAGUACCUUAUAGUAAAGGAAAGAAUCAGGAAGGUUUCUAUGGGAAUAUAUCAAUAUUUAGAAAAUGAAAAUCAUGAACGUGAAACAGAGCGACAUGUUUAGUUACCUAUUAGCAACAAUAAAGCUUGUUUUCAUCUAAUGGUGCUACUUUGCUGCAGCUAACGUUGUACUGAGUGAAAAGACAUUUUUAUUACACUUUCAGCCUGGACACAGUGUACAUUUUCAUGUUUAUUUUUUUUUCCCAUUACGUACAGCUGCUGUAGGCACAUGCAAACAGCUCAACAUCCUGAGGCAGCCUGCAGAGCUGCAGUAUGAGCACAGCCCUGCUUUGGGCUCACACACAGAGCUGAAAGGCUCUAUCAGCACCAACAGGUAGCAGUUUGGAAAAGACACACCAGCUUGCACAGGGCCUUGCUUUGUUAGAGUAACUAGAGAUUAGCUUAGGCAAGGAGGGCAGGUCAAUGCCGUCUUGUUCUUCCCAGCAAAAAAUUCUUGUUUCACUUACUAACAGUUUAAAAUAGUGAGAACAAUCUCUGAUGGGCUUGUUCUGUUCAGUGUGGGGUGUGCUUGGUGCUUAAAUGCUCUUAAGGAACAAGGAUCUUCCAAAUGGAGCUUACUAGACGUUUCCUCUGGCUCUUUUCUGUCUGGAUUUUUGGUGCCUGAUAUGACUAAAUUUUGCUAAUUCCUUGGUGGACUUCCAAGUUUGUGCACAUCAUUUUGUCUACUCUGAUGUACAUUUGCACAGAAACUGCUGAAACAACUUUGGUUUUGAGAUUUGUAUUCCUUAAGCAAUCUCAUGAAACCACCUAGCAAAAUGGAAUUUGUCUUGGGUACAAAGAGAAGAGUGGAGAUAUGAAUGUAAUCAAAACUCUGUUAAGAAAACUGUUUACCUGGGAAAACAGUAUACACUUAGAGCUUGCUUAAUAUCCCUUCCUCUGUCAAGCCAUAGUUUUGAUUUAAGUCUACAGUAAACUGCCAUGACCUUGUUAAACCUGAUUUAAACAGGCAGGUCAUUUUUAUUACUUUCUAAGUCAAAAUUAUUUAGUUCUAGGUCAAGGCGUAGAACCAACUCAAACCAAGGUGAACAAGCCAUCACUAGGUACUGACUGGCAGAAUUAGCUGGAACUGCUUAAGAAGGUUCUGUCCACAGUUGGAUCCAUCCAACAUCCAGUUGGAUGCCUCCAUGUGAUGAUGUUUAAAACCUCAAAGCUGACUCCAUUCUACUGAAAAAUGAAGUGUCUUCAUUUAGGUCAACUACCAUCAACGUCAGUUCAGUCAGGCUGAUUUUGGACUGAAGUGGGUUACAGCAGGCUCUUAUGCCAGGUGCUGUAGGCAUGUGGAGCUUCAAAACAGUGUAAUGAAAGGAACAUCUUAGAACUGCAACUUCAACAACUCAAUCUGCUUUUGAACCUCCAGUGCACCAAAGAUGGAAUGGCAAAGGCAGGGGCAGAUAUUACAGCAAAGUACCUCUGAAAAACAUGCCUACCAUUCAUCAGUUUUGGCUCACUGGUUAUGACGUGCCCUUGAAGAAGGAAGAGAACACAUUGUAACCUUGGUAUCUAUGGAACAUUUCUGUACAGCUACCUUUAGAAGAGCUUUGCCUCCAGAAUGACUUUUCUCCCCUACCCAACCUAUUAGAAGCUCAUAUUGCAGAGAAAUUGAAAACAAAGAACCAAAGUGGUGAAGAAUCAAUCAGUGUAAUUCUGAAUAGGUUACACCCAUAAUUCAUGCAAGAUUAAAUACACUUUGUACGUAA